GAGCUUGCUUAACAGCAUAUAUCCUAAAAUUGGAACAAUACAGAGAAGAUUAGCAUGGCUCUUGCACAAAGAAAACAUGCAAAUUUUUCCCUUGAUUUU
rnacentral:snRNA from 1 species